GAUGAACGCUGGCGGCGUGCUUAACACAUGCAAGUCGAACGGAAAGGCCCAAGCUUGCUUGGGUACUCGAGUGGCGAACGGGUGAGUAACACGUGGGUGAUCUGCCCUGCACUUCGGGAUAAGCCUGGGAAACUGGGUCUAAUACCGGAUAGGACCACGUCUUGGAUGUUGUGGUGGAAAGUUUUUUCGGUGUGGGAUGAGCUCGCGGCCUAUCAGCUUGUUGGUGGGGUAAUGGCCUACCAAGGCGUCGACGGGUAGCCGGCCUGAGAGGGUGUACGGCCACAUUGGGACAGAGAUACGGCCCAGACUCCUACGGGAGGCAGCAGUGGGGAAUAUUGGACAAUGGGGGCAAGCCUGAUGCAGCGACGCCGCGUGGGGGAUAACGGCAUUCGGGUUGUAAACUCCUCUCGCUAGGGACGAAGCGUUUUUGUGACGGUACCUGGAGAAGAAGCACCGGCUAACUACGUG
rnacentral:rRNA from 1 species